UGCGCAGGCGGAAUGAUUAGUCAGUGGUGAAAGCCCUCGGCUCAACCGAGGAACUGCCAUUGAUACUGUCAUUCUUGAGUACAGUUGUAGUGGGCGGAAUGUGUCAUGUAGCGGUGAAAUGCAUAGAGAUGACACAGAACACCGAUCGCGAAGGCAGCUCACUAAGCUGAAACUGACGCUCAGGCACGAAAGCGUGGGGAGCGAACAGGAUUAGAUACCCUGGUAGUCC
rnacentral:rRNA from 1 species